UACGGAGGAUGCAAGCGUUAUCCGGAUUCAUUGGGUUUAAAGGGUGCGCAGGUGGGCUUGUAAGUCAGUGGUGAAAUACUGCCGCUUAACGGUAGGAUUGCCAUUGAUACUGCGGGUCUUGAGUUUAGAUGAGGUAGGCGGAAUGUGCAGUGUAGCGGUGAAAUGCAUAGAGAUUGCACAGAACUCCGAUUGCGAAGGCAGCUUACUAAUCUACGACUGACGCUGAGGCACGAAAGCGUGGGGAGCAAAC
rnacentral:rRNA from 1 species